rnacentral:lncRNA from 1 species
GUUCAUUGUGAUGAUGGAAAAGCAAGCAACUGCUAAAUCGUCUACCAUUUUCAUCUCGGAUGCUGUUAAAGGGCGUAGGAAGGCAAGGGAUGGAACAUUCCAAGGUGCAAAAUGGAAUGCUUCUUUAGCAUCUAAAAUCAAAAGUAAAUUAAUAAAAUAAAACUCUUAUAGAAAUAGAAGCGUUUUUAAAUUAUAACCUUUUAACUGCAAUAGAAAUAAGCAGUCUUUCUGAGAAUCUUCAGAGUUCUCUUCCUCUGUCAGCGGGUUCAAGUAGCGCUGUUGGUGACCAGUUCAAGGGCAGAAGGCAGUCUGCUAGAAAAUCAAGUAUGCACAGAACUAACUUGCAAUAGUGCCUUCCCGACUCAUGUCAAAAAUGCACAAUCUUUCAGGCGGUCUGAGGAGCUUACAAAACAAUAUAAUGAUAGUUCAUUGCCAUUCUGUGGAAAUGUGACUGAAAGAAAGAAACAUGCAGCAUUUUGUCAGUCAAAAACUCAACCUAAUGUAAAGGAUUCUGAUAAAAAAGGUAGCUCAGAUAAUCUGCCUUAUGGUAUCAACAGCGGCAGCACCACCAAUGAUGUGAAUUUGCGGCAAAGUUCAAGUGACUUGUCUCACAUUAGUCCUUCACCUCUUAAAUUUAGCAAUGAAAGCAAGAGAGAUUUAAAGC